UAUCCCUGAGGGGGAACCCUCUCGCUCACUGCGUUUUACAGAUCGCAUGGAUGAGGGGACCUUUCAUCGGAUGGGAUUCCACAAGGUCGGGGAAGUCUGGGUACGGAAACUAUCCACAUCCACACCAUCUGACCCUACCACUCAUCACUCUCCUAGCCCUAACCAUGACCAGGAGCACUAUACAGAUCUUCCCACUUUUCCUUCCACCUCUGGUCCUACCCAUACUGAGCCCUCCACCUCCACUGCCCCACCUUCUCAGCAACAGCCCCUGG
rnacentral:lncRNA from 1 species